rnacentral:rRNA from 1 species
AUUGAACGCUGGCGGCAGGCCUAACACAUGCAAGUCGAGCGGUAGAGAGAAGCUUGCUUCUCUUGAGAGCGGCGGACGGGUGAGUAAUGACUAGGAAUAUGCCUGGUAGUGGGGGAUAACGUUCGGAAACGGACGCUAAUACCCCAUACGUCCUACUAGACACAGCAGGGGACCUUCGGUCCUUGCGCUCUCAGAUGAGCCUAGAUCGGAUUAGCUAGUUGGUGGGGUAAUGGCUCACCAAGGCGACGAUCCGUAACUGGUCUGAGAGGAUGAUCAUUCACAAUGGAAAUGAGACACGGUCCAAAAUCCUACGGGAGGCAGCAGUGGGGAAUAUUGGACAAUGGGCGAAAGCCUGAUCCAGCCAUGCCGCGUGUGUGAAGAAGGUCUUCGGAUUGUAAAGCACUUUAAGUUGGGAGGAAAGGCAGUAAAUUAAUACUUUGCUGUUUUGACGUUACCGACAGAAUAAGCACCGGCUAACUCUGUGCCAGCCGCCGCCGUAA